rnacentral:rRNA from 1 species
AGGAGGCGUUGCGCAGGCAAAUCCGCGCAAUAAGCCAAAGGUGUGACGGGGAGCGAAAUUAUAGUAGCGAAGUCCGGAUACAUGCUGUCAAGAAAAGCCGCUAUUGCGCCAUAUGUACCCGUACCGUAAACCGACACAGGUGGAUGAGGAGAGAAUCCUAAGGCCGGCGGGAGAAGUGUUGUUAAGGAACUCGGCAAAAUGGCCCCGUAACUUCGGGAGAAGGGGCGCCCAGAAAUGGGCCGCAGAGAAAAGGCUCAAGCAACUGUUUAGCAAAAACACAGGUCUAUGCGAAACCGAAAGGUGAGGUAUAUGGGCUGACGCCUGCCCGGUGCAGGAAGGUUAAGGGGAGAGGUUAGCCGCAAGGCGAAGCUUUGAACUUAAGCCCCAGUAAACGGCGGCCGUAACUAUAACGGUCCUAAGGUAGCGAAAUUCCUUGUCGGGUAAGUUCCGACCCGCACGAAAGGCGUAAUGAUUUGAGCACUGUCUCGACAACACACCCGGUGAAAUUGAAAUACCAGUGAAGAUGCUGGUUACCUGCGCCAGGACGGAAAGACCCCAUGGAGCUUUACUCUAGUUUGAUACUGGGACCCGGUAUGACAUGUACAGGAUAGGUGGGAGGCAGAGAAUUAAUGACGCCAGUCAUUAAGGAGCCGCUGUUGGGAGACCACCCUUGUGAUGUCAGGUUUCUAACGAGCUGCCGUGAACCGGCAGGCGGACAAUGUCAGGCGGGGAGUUUGACUGGGGCGGUCGCCUCCGAAAGGGUAUCGGAGGCGCUCAAAGGUUCCCUCAGAAUGGUUGGAAACCAUUCGGAGAGUGCAAAGGCAGAAGGGAGCCUGACUGCGACACCGACGGGUGGAGCAGGUACGAAAGUAGGACUUAGUGAUCCGGUGGUAUAAAGUGGGAUUGCCAUCGCUCAACGGAUAAAAGCUACCCUGGGAUAACAGGCUUAUCACUCCCAAGAGUUCACAUCGACGGAGUGGUUUGGCACCUCGAUGUCGGCUCAUCGCAUCCUGGGGCUGGAGUAGGUCCCAAGGGUUGGGCUGUUCGCCCAUUAAAGCGGUACGCGAGCUGGGUUCAGAACGUCGUGAGACAGUUCGGUCCCUAUCCGGCGCGGGCGUAAGAGAUCUGAGAGGAGCUGUCCUUAGUACGAGAGGACCGGGAUGGACGGACCACUGGUGUAUCUGUUGCACCACCAGGUGCACGGCAGAGUAGCCAAGUCCGGACGGGAUAAACGCUGAAGGCAUCUAAGCGUGAAGCCCCCCUCAAGAUGAGAUCUCUCAUUCGAAAGAAGUAAGACCCCUUGAAGACGACGAGGUAGAUAGGGCAGGGGUGGAAGGGCAGUAAUGUCCGGAGCUGACUGUUACUAAUCGGUCGAGGGUUUGACC